CAGCAGCCACGGUAAUACAGAGGAUGCAAGCGUUAUCCGGAAUGAUUGGGCGUAAAGCGUGCGCAGGCGGUUAUAUAAGUCAGAUGUGAAAUCCCCGGGCUCAACCUGGGAACUGCAUUUGAGACUGUAUGGCUAGAGUGUGUCAGAGGGGGGUAGAAUUCCACGUGUAGCAGUGAAAUGCGUAGAUAUGUGGAGGAAUACCGAUGGCGAAGGCAGCCCCCUGGGAUAACACUGACGCUCAUGCACGAAAGCGUGGGGAGCAAACAGGACUAGAUACCCCCGUAGUCCCUGUCUCUUAUAC
rnacentral:rRNA from 1 species